CAGCAGCCACGGGAAUACGAAGGGUGCAAGCGUUACUCGGAAUUACUGGGCGUAAAGCGUGCGUAGGUGGUGGUUUAAGUCCGUUGUGAGAGCCCUGGGCUCAACCUGGGAAUUGCAGUGGAUACUGGGUCACUAGAGUGUGGUAGAGGAUAGUGGAAUUUCCGGUGUAGCAGUGAAAUGCGUAGAGAUCGGAAGGAACAUCUGUGGCGAAGGCGACUAUCUGGGCCAACACUGACACUGAGGCACGAAAGCGUGGGGAGCAAACAGGAUUAGAGACCCCUGUAGUCCCUGUCUCUUAUAC
rnacentral:rRNA from 1 species